UGAGCUUCUCUUUAAAAGUUUCAACAUUGUCCACAGGUCUCAGAUGCAGUGGCAGUGCAUUCCACAGUUUGGGACACAGCCCCAAAAGCAC